rnacentral:lncRNA from 1 species
CAAACUCAUAAAUCCAUGGACAAAAAACAAAAUCGGGGUAACAAACUAAAACUGAGGAAAACGCAUAAAUAUAAGAGGAGAACAACGACACAACACUACAAUGUAACUAACACACACAGAAACGGACCAACCAUCAGACAAAAUCCCACGAGAAUAACAAAUAUAACAUCAAAACCAAAUACAUGAAUUUGGGAUAGACAAGUACCGUGACACGUCUUAUCGCAAUGUCAAUUUACACUAAAAAAUAAGAGAAAACAAACGACGCAACGUUAAAUUGUAACACACACAGAAACGAACUAUAAUAUAACAAUGGCCUAAUUUCCUGACUUGGUACAGGACAUUUUUAAAGGAAAAAAUGGUGGGUUGAACCUGGUUUUGUGGCAUGCCAAACCUCGCACUUUAAUGGCAAUAUUAAAUAUAACAUAGAAAUGACAACAUAAUUUACAGGACUACAAUACAAAUAAAUAGGAAAACGUAUUAGACAAAGAAACACCUGAUUAAUUAUUAACAAAAAGCAUCAGGUUUAAAAUUU